GACGAACGCUGGCGGCGUGCCUAACACAUGCAAGUCGAGCGGAGAUAGUUUGAUGGUAACUGAUAGCUAUUUUAGCGGCGGACGGGUGAGUAACACGUGGGCAACCUGCCUCAAAGAGGGGGAUAACACCGAGAAAUCGGUGCUAAUACCGCAUAACAUACAUUGACUGCAUGGUCGAUGUAUCAAAGGAGUAAUCCGCUUUGAGAUGGGCCCGCGGCUGAUUAGCUAGUUGGUGAGGUAAUGGCUCACCAAGGCAACGAUCAGUAGCCGACCUGAGAGGGUGACCGGCCACACUGGAACUGAGACACGGUCCAGACUCCUACGGGAGGCUG
rnacentral:rRNA from 1 species